rnacentral:lncRNA from 1 species
AGAGUCGGUGAAGGCUUUAAAGGAAGUAGGCAGCUGGAACCCGGCUGUGGCGGGUUGAAAAGCCCGGGCGUUUGAGAGCUGAGACUUGCCAGUUCCCACAGGCCAAGCCAGGCGUCUGCACCCCAUUCUCUUGGUUCCGACGAUGGAGUCUUGCUCUGUCACCCAGACUGGAGUACAGUGGUGUGAUCUCAGCUCACUGCAACCUCCACUUCCCAGGUUCAAGCGAUUUUCCUGCCCCAGCUUCCCGAGCAGCUGGGACUACAGAAUAUGCUCUCCAUGAGGGUGUUCUUCAGGGCCUACCACAAUGGCUGGCACUAGAGAAGGGCACAAAAUUGAAGAACAGUGAAGACAAAAGCAAUAAGAUGAUUAAGGCCAUGUGAGACAGCAACAAUAUCAGGUUGCAGAUACCACAGACUCUGUCAAGAAGUGUGUUGGGGGCCAGGCGUGGUGACUCAUGCCUGUAAUCCCAGCACUUUGGGAGGCUGAGGUGGGAGAAUUGCUUGAUCCCAGAGGUCAAGUCUGUAUAAGCCAUGAUCAUGCCGGUACUCCAGCCUUGGAGACAGAGUGAGACCCUCUCUCAGAAGAAAAAAAAAAAGAAGUAUGUUGAGGCUUCUCAUUGCUCUGAAAAGGGAGUUCAUGAUAAACAUGUUUGGGCUGGGGAAAAAAAAAAACAAGCACAUAAACAAAAUAAAAAACCCAACCCUUGUCCCUUGGUCUUUGAGUGACCAGUGAUAUUCCAUCGCCGUGGAAGAAGAGAAGAUGAAUACUGGGGGAACACCCACAGUGCCUGUGACGCUUCCUACCAGCCUGCUCUACCUCCCUGGCCGGCUCUUUCUCCCUUCCUCCUACCAGCUUUUCUAAACCUUCUGUCAGCUCAGCAUCCCUCCCAUCCCUCUGCCAUCACUAACCCCUCUCUUCCUAUUGCACAGAACAAAGAGAAUCCAUCAGAUGAGAGUUCCUUCAACUUCCUGAUCUCUCCCUCCCAGCCCUCACCAGACACCCUGCUUGAAUGCUCACCCCUUUCUCUCGAAGGCCAGUCCCUGCUCCUGGGCUCUCAAUCCCACCCCUCCUAUUGGCCUAGAACCGCAAAACCAGGUCUCUCCCACUGUCUCCAGACUCUCUGCCCACAGUGUGUCAGCAUUUAAAUAUGCUCGUCUUUUCCAUGAAAGGUGUUCCCUGGGGCCAGGCGCGGUGGCUCACACCUGUAAUCCCUGCACUUUGGGAGGCCGAGGUGGGCGGAUCUCUUGAGGUCAGGAGUUCGAGACCAGCCUGGCCAAUGUGGUGAAACCCCAUCUCUACUAACAAUACAAAAAUUAGGUGUGGUGGCACACGCCCGUAGUCCCAGUUACUAGGGAGUCUGAGGCGGGAGAAUCGCUUGAACCCGCGAGGUGGAGGUUGCAGUGAGCUGAGAUCAUACCACUGCACUCCAGCUUUGGCGGCAGAGCAAGACUCUGAAGAAAGAGGGAGGGAGGGAAGGAAGGAAGGAGGGAAGGAAGGAAGGAGGGAAGGAAGGAAGGAAGGAAGGAAGGAAGGAAGGAAGGAAGGAAGGAAGGAAGGGCGGGCUCCCUGGACUCCAUCUCCCCCUCCUGCCACCUGUCUCUCCGCUCUCCUUCGGCGUAAGCCAGGAAGCGCUCCCUUCUCUAUGUCCACCACUUUUUCAGUUUCUUUAAAAUAAGAAAUGUGGUGGAAAUGUCAAGACACCAAGAAACCUAUACACCAGUCCUAAGGGUUCAUUCUACUUUCCUUUUUCUCUCUACAACAUCAUACAGCCCUGGUUAUUUCUACAGUGGCUUUAGUCCUCUCCUUUGGUGUACUUUACAAAAAUAUAUCCAGGGAGAACUGGAUUCUCCAUCCUCUUGGGGAACCGACAGAGUAUCCACAACCAGUCUAUUUCAAAGGGAGGGGGUUGGGCUUGAUGAGGUGGCUCACUCCUGUAAUCCCAGCACUUUGGGAGGCUGAGGCGGGAAGAUCCAUUGAGCCCAGGAGUUCAAGACCAGCCUGGGGAACAUGGCGAAAUCCCAUCUCUACAAAAAAAUACACAAAUUAGCCAGGUGUGAUGGCGUGCACUUGUAGUCCCAGCUACUCAGGAGGCUGAGGAGGGAGGAUCACCUAAGCCUGGGAGUUCGAGGUUGCAGGGAGUUAAGCCAUGAUCGUGCCACUGCGCUCCAGCCUGUCUGAGACACUGUCUCAACAAACAAGCAAACAAAUGAAACAAAAGGAAGGAACCUGAACCUCUUUACAUCUUCUUUUGGGAGCAGCGAUAAUCAGCAAUGACGUGUUCCAAUCAUAAUUCCAUUUCCUCAUUUAAGGCAGAACCCUCUCUGUUCAGUAAUUGGCACAAUUUGAGGACAAGAGUUAUCCUAGGAACUUUCAGAAAAAGAACCCAUAUUAAUUUUGUAACAAAGAUGUAAAAUGUGUCUUUGUGAGAAAGGGGCAUACAGAUUUUGGUGGGACUUUGAAUCAUACGCAGUCAUAAUUUGUUUUAUCCUUUUUUCCAGAAAAAUAUGCAAAACAAAAUAGCUGUGUGAUGGUACUACAGGGUCUUUGGGCUUUUGGAGGAGAAUAUAACCAAAGGGCUCCCAGGACAGCGUCAUGUUCAAGUGUCUAGAAAGUUUCAUAUGCACUCUGUGCUUUACUUUCUCAUCACCUAUUUUAGUCCAUUCAGGUUGCUUUAGACUCCCAUAGGCUUAUAAACAACAGAAAUGCACUUUCUCACAUUCUGGAGUCUGGAAUGAGAUUGUGGUGCCAGCAUGGUUGAGUUCUGGCAAGGGAUGUCUUCUGGGUUGCAGAUGGCCGAAUUUUCUUUGUAUCCUCAUGUGAUGGGGAGAGAGAGACAGAGUGAACUCUCUGGGGUCCUUUCAUGGGGUAGUAAUCUCACUGCUGGGGGCUCUUAGCUCAUGACCUAAUCACCUUCUAAAGGCUCACCUCCUAAUACCAUCACCUUGGGGGUUAGGAUUUCAACAGAUGAAUCUGGGGAGGGGAUACACAUAUUCAAUCCACGGCACCUGUUCACUCUUCCCCCAUCUGCAGUCCGACAUCUGCCAUCUUCCUUGUCACUAGACCCAGUGGACUCCCCAUCAUACUUGGCUUCCCAGCACCACCUGGCGUUUGGGGCCUCUUCUUCCUUGAAAUCUCCCUUUACCCCACGUCUGUGACCCACACUUCCCAGGCAGCUCACACCCAGGCCUUAGCGGGGGUAGGCCCUCUUCCCUUCUCCCUCCACCCCAGUGUGGGACUUCAUUCACUCCGUCAUCUUUUUGGACAGUUCAAUUAGGGGCUCCCAAGCCACUGGAAAUCCAGGUGAGCCAUGGAUCUUGGAAUUCCAAGGCCUCCCUGGGGUUUUGCUGUGAUUCCCAGGGACUCUGGCCUCGUCUCCUCUUGGGAUCUGACUUCCUGUGUGCUGCCUCUCUGUCUACUCCAGGUUCUGAAGGAAAACUCAACUUUGUCUUUGGUUCCCCCACAACAUUUAAUCACACCCCACUGUGGGGUCAUUAGACUUUGCCAGAGGUCUUGGGGGCUGUCUAGGCAGGGGUCUUACCAGGACUGGCACAGCCUCUGCCAUCUUGCUUCUUGCCUCCACCUCAGCUCCUCUCCCACUUUACCUUUCAUUUUACUGCUGCAACUCCAAAGUCCUCCCUAUUGUCUGAAGCAUCUUCCCUCCUCUGAAUCUUGAGAUCGGCUGACACCCCGGCCCUCCAGAAGUGGGCGUUUCACCUUCCAAAGCAAGCUCUUAGCACGAUUUUUUUCCCACACAAAGCCAAUUUUUUAACAGAAAUUUUACAGCCAUAAAAAAUUAUAUUUUUUUAAUACAAUUUAAAAAAUAUAUAUUUCUCCACCUUGUUCCUGGCCUUUUUCUCCUAAGCUUCAGCCCCACAGCUCCCACAGGCAUCUGAAACUCGACGUGCCCAGAUGAGAACUCAUCUUUCUCCCUUCUAAGCUGGGCUGUUCUUUUUUUUUUUUACACAGAGUUUUGCUCUUGUUGCCCAGAGCUGGAGUGCAAUGGGGCUAUCUCACCUUACCACAGCCUAUGCCUCCCAGGUUCAAGCGAUUCUCCUGUCUCAGCCUCCUGAGUAGCUGGGAUUACAGGCAUGCGCCACCACGCCGGGCUAAUUUUGUAUUUUUAGUAGAGACAGGGUUUCUCCAUGUUGGUCAGGCUGGUCUUGAACUCCCGACCUCAGGUGAUCCACCCGCUUCAGCCUCCCAAAGUGCAUGGAUUACAGACGUAAGCCACUGCUCCCGGCCUGAGCUGUUCUUUACUCUCAUGGUUGGCAUCCCCAUCCAACCAGGUCCCUGGGUGGCCUCUGACUUCUGACAAGUGACACUUCUUGCCAGAGGACUACCCCGAACUCACUGGUAGCUCACUCAUGAGGCUCAGCUGGGGUAGGCCCAGCUGUACCUCCAGUCACCCCUGUGUCCAUGUUCAUCAGGCACCACACAGGCAUGUUCCUCAAUGCAAAUCUGAUCUGACACUGCUCUGCACUGAACUCCUUGGCGUCUCCCCCUGCUCCCCACCCCUCCAGCCCCUCCCAUUGAGCGCCUCUCAGUUUCCCUCAUGCCUCCAAUUCCCCAAAUGUCUUUCCACCCAAGCUCCCCGUCUCCUUGCUACCCUAGGCGUGUUCUUCAAGUCUCACUUUAUCUGUUAACUUCUGGAAAUCUGUGCCCGAUCUCACACUUGGAGUUAGGCAUUCUUCCUAUCAUGGGCAGGGUGAAUAGUACCUUCUACAGUCAUCAUGAUAUAAACACUUAUGAGGGCCGG